GGCUGGUCUGAAGGUAGUGAGUUAUCUCACGUGAUUGUUCAGUCAGUUACAGAUUAAACUCCUUGUUUUACUACUUUCCCCCCUCCUCACUACUGCACUUGAUUGGUCUUAA
rnacentral:Y_RNA from 1 species